AUGGAGACCAAAUUUGUGGCAUCCUGUCUCAAAAUCUUCCUCCUCAUCUACUGCUUUGGCUUUUGGAGCACUGGGGUUAUCUUGUUGGGUUUUGGAGUCUGGGGAGCGCUUACUCUGGGCGUGUAUCUCUCUCUUGUUGCCGUAGAUGUUCCCGCUGUGCUCAUCGGAACUGGUAUCACGAUUAUAAUUUUUGGUUUAUUUGGAUGCUUUUCUGCAUGCCGAGGAAGCCCACGGAUGCUGAAGCUGUAUUCUCUGAUUCUGUCACUGGUGUUCCUGGCUGAGCUUGCUGCUAGCAUCUCAGGGAUUUUACUUCACAGCGAAAUCAAGAACAGAUUCCUGAAGAUUUAUACCAAUGCUGUACGGAAUUAUAACAGCAAUGAUAGGAAGAGCCAGGCCGUGGACCAGGUGCAGUAUAAUCUGAUGUGCUGUGGGGUGAAGAAUUACACAGACUGGAAUGACAACCCCUACUUCCUGAAUCAUGGUAUCCCCCACAGUUGCUGCAAGGAUGAAACUGACUGUGAUAUCCAGGAUCGACACAAUCUGACCGCAGUUGCCACCAAAGUUAACCAGAGGGGCUGCUAUGUUCUGAUGGUAGGUUUCUUAGAGGCAAACAUGGUCAUCAUCAUUGGAGUGCUGUUUGCAGUCACAUUUUCCCAGUUGAUUGGCGUGAGGUUGUCCUGUUGUCUGUCCCGGCUCAUCAUGACCCAACACUAUGAGACAGUGUUUAACGUUAAAAGAGAAAUAGACUAAGGAGCCUGUUUCCAAGAAGAACUACUACGUCCUCUGCAAAGAGCAGUAGUGCACAGAACUCAUCUGUCCUGCUCUCAUGGCCGUCUUCCUCAGGGCCUGCCCCAUACACGUUGCUGGCACUCCUACAUGAUCUCUGCUCCGACUUUUAGACCACAAGAAGUGUCCUGUUCAUCUCAUGAAGCCCCGCUUUGUUACACAGUGUAACCACCUGCAGCUAGUCAUAGUGAAUCCCACCCCAUGGCCCUGUGCGUGCAAGCUCUUCCUCCUGAAUCGGGUUCAAAUGCAGGUUAUUGUGGGAGGCUAGUUAUCACAUCAUCACUGGCCUCUUGUGGCCCUGAAUGAAGUAUGGGAGGUUGCCAGUCCUUUAUCAUGGUCCAUAAAAGCCAUGCACCUUUCGAGAGAUAA